rnacentral:rRNA from 1 species
GACGAACGCUGGCGGCGUGCUUAACACAUGCAAGUCGAACGAAGUGGCGAACGGGUGAGUAACGCGUAAUCAACCUGCCCUUCAGAGGGGGACAACAGUGGAAAACGACUGCUAAUACCGCAUACGGAAGGAGGGGAUUGCGUCUGAUUAGCUAGUUGGGUGGGUAACGGCCCACCAAGGCGAUGAUCAGUAGCCGGUCUGGGAGGAUGAACGGCCACAUUGGGACUGGGACACGGCCCAGACUCCUACGGGAGGCAGCAGUGGGGAAACUUCCGAAAUGGGCGAAAGGCUGACGGAGCCACGCCGCGUGAGUGAUGACGGCCUUCGGGUUGGAAAGCUCUGUUAAUCGGGACGCGGUACCGGAAUAGAAAGCCACGGCUAACUACGUGCCAGCAGCCGCGGUAAUAC